CAAGGUGGUUAUAGAGACCAGAGUGGACUAUGUAGUAAAAGUUGACCAACCGUGAUAUGGAUCACACUAAUAAAUGGCCUAUCUAGAGGGAAUUCCGACUUAGUGGCCCAUACUUCACACAUCACCCAAGGAAAAUUAUCAUCACAUCAAUUCUCAGUACAGAAUGAAUACAAACAAAUUCGCGAACAACAGCAACAGAUUUUCGCCUGGUGCCAAUGCUGCCAAACGAGAUUUAUUCUUCAUCUCGACCGUACUGCCUGCUCGUCCCCGUGUAGCCACUGAAGGCCUGGGAGAUUUUGGUUUCUCCAUUUUCUGAUAUGUUUAAACUCCUUUUGUGAACAUAUUCCGGUGUGACUUGUUAGUAAACGUACUCGUUAAUAAUUAACACCUCUCGUGCUGAACGCACAUGGUCGCCAUCUUGUUUACGGAGUUACCUUGGAGGCGAUGAACCCGCGCUGAAAGGGGCCCGCCUUCGGGUCACCUAAUUGGCUGUUUCAGGUGUUAGAGGCGGGCGUAUGAUUAUGUCUGUAAAAUAUAUAUGACCAUAUUAGUGUUCGCGUGCAAAUUGAAUUACCGUAAAGUAGUGUAAUACAAAUGGUGACAUUGUAUGUUUUAAAAAUGUAUCAAAAUAAAUUGUUAUCGACAAAUAUAUCUUAUGAUAUGUUUUAUAACAAACCAUCAUUAACGGUUAAUUGGUGUUUGAAACUGAAUAAAAGCAACUUUGUUGGAAA